GAUGAACGCUGGCGGCGUGCCUAAUACAUGCAAGUCGAGCGAACAGACGAGGAGCUUGCUCCUCUGACGUUAGCGGCGGACGGGUGAGUAACACGUGGAUAACCUACCUAUAAGACUGGGAUAACUUCGGGAAACCGGAGCUAAUACCGGAUAAUAUAUUGAACCGCAUGGUUCAAUAGUGAAAGACGGUUUUGCUGUCACUUAUAGAUGGAUCCGCGCCGCAUUAGCUAGUUGGUAAGGUAACGGCUUACCAAGGCAACGAUGCGUAGCCGACCUGAGAGGGUGAUCGGCCACACUGGAACUGAGACACGGUCCAGACUCCUACGGGAGGCAGCAGUAGGGAAUCUUCCGCAAUGGGCGAAAGCCUGACGGAGCAAUGCCGCGUGAGUGAUGAAGGUCUUCGGAUCGUAAAACUCUUUUAUUAGGGAAGAACAAAUGUGUAAGUAACUAUGCACGUCUUGACGGUACCUAAUCAGAAAGCCACGGCUAACUACGUG
rnacentral:rRNA from 1 species